CAGUUCCGAGGACGGAGCCAAUUCCCAUCGGUAAUGAAUGAAUGAAGAUCAACAACACAGAUGGAAUGUUAUGGUAAGACAUAACUUCUUUUUAUAAAUUUUCAGUGUAUUUUAUAUGUAGAAUGGAUAAUAUGUUUUGCAAGAAGGAAAUGUCACAUACAGUACACUGUAUUGUAUGCAAUAGAUCUGUUUCCUGAAAGCCUUAGUUAUUUUCUAUAGCUGCUUUACUUUCUGUAGCAACCUUGCUUUUUCAUGUAUAUUAUCUUUUAGCUUUACACUGUGCUGUUCCUACCACCCUGUUUUACCUAUUUAAGCUUAAAGCAUUAUGAAGGCUGUUUAUGAGACAUUAAACAGCAGUCUCAUUUUUCCUCUGGAUGUCUCCUGAUAAACUAGCAUUUAACACCUUAUUCAAAGGCAAGUUUCCUGCUCUUUGAAAUGCAGCUUAGUCUUAGCAGUUCUCACGCAAGGAGAAAAAUGGAUUUUAUUAUUUGUAUUUUUUGUAUAAAAAUAGUAUGCUCUGCCUUUAGUUCUGUUACUUUUAAAAUAGCAGACAGCUGGCCAGGAGCUACUGCAGAAUUUGCUGCUUCUGUACCAAAUCUGUGGAAAUGUCCAGAUUCAAUGACAGUUUCCUACAUGAAAUUACUUCAUCAUUGAUUAAAGUGAUACCAUUGUUGCAGCCCUUUGGGGUUCUGCCUGAGGGGAGAAACUGCAUUAAGUGUGGCUACAAGGCUUCCCUUGUAGCUCACAAAUCAACCUUCCUCUGGAAAUGUAGAACAAAGAAAUGCAGACAUAAAAGUGGUAUGCUGACUGGAGCGUUUUUUGAGAAAAGUAGAUUGCGUCUACAGUCACUUCUGAGGCUGCUGUACUGCUGGCUUAGAAAGUUCCCAGUCAGAAUGGCUGCAGACCGUCUUGGCGUUUCUCCAAAAUUUGUUGUGGUUGGUGACAGUUACUAAGGGACAUCUGCAUCUGGAAACUUCUUCAGGACCCUAUGUUACUCGGGGGUCCUGGAAAGAAAGUCCAUAUUGAUGAAAGCCUUUUAAUACACGUGUUUUUUCUCAUGAAUUGCAAGCACCUUUUGGUGAAUCACAGUCAAAUUUGAGUAUACCCACUGUCAGAUGCACACACCAGUGCUGUGGAGAGCAUGUGGUCAAUUUGCAAGGGACAGUUUAAGGCCAUGAAUGGUACCAUGCCACAUAUGGUUCCCAGUUAAUUAGACAAAUUCAUGUGAUCAAUAAAUACUGGGAAGGUUUUGAUGAGUUAUUUAUCAACUUGGUCAGAUCAGGGAACUCCAAGAAGUUCAGCACAUGGCGGGUGCUGAGGCCAGAAAUGAAGAAGAUUCCAGGACACUGAUUCAGACAAGGAGAAAGAGCAUCCGUGACUGUGAAUAUUUUGUUUUAAUCUAUGCAAAAGGGUUAAUGAUUUACGAUUAUUUUUUUUAUACUAUUCAUUUGGUGGAAGCGGCUCUGUGUGUGUCCUAUUCCUUUGUGCUUUUUGAAUUUUUACUUCUUGGGAAGUGGGUCUGGGUGUGUUAAGUUUUAGAAGACAUAUUAAAUAAAGUUCACUAAAGAAAUGUU